CGGCGCAGCCGUGGCGCCCCCCGGCGGGCUUUCUGGGCACCCGGGGUCCUGCGGACGCGCGCGCCUCUCGCCCGGCACCUCGGAGGGCGCCCGCCUUGGCCCGGUUGCCCCUGCUCUUGACCCCCGCUCUUGAUUCUGGGUCCAACUCUUCUGUCCUUCACUCCUCACUGGAGCUGAAAUCCCAGGUGGAUCCCCAGGAUGUGCUUCUCCGGGACCAGCUGGAGCCUCUUGAGCCCUCUGACACAGAGCCCCGGGGUGAGAAGAUUGUAGAAUGGACCUCUUAGAUGAGGCUGGAGACUUGGCCACGAUGACUGCAUUCCUGUAAUCUGGGAUCUCUUCUUGAAUGUACUGUAAGAGAAAGGGUGAUGCUCUUAAAUUGUCAACAGGAAUAUUGAAGAAGCUCUGGAUUUCCUUCUGGUGUAAAUCCAUAGUAAUAAGAUGAGUUAGACCAGCUUUGCACAUCAUGGAAGCCAGCAAUUUAGAGACAAUGGAGCCUCUUUUUCUCAUGUUGCACUGUUUGCUGUAAGGAAAGUAGGGGAUCAUGCUGAUGAUGCUCUUGGCACUAGAGGUUUUACAUGCAUAUACCAUAAUCAGGAGCUCCAUGAUAGCAGUGUUCACAUCCUUUGAGAUGGUCUGGAUGAUGAAAACAUCUUUUCCCCUCACAGAUUCUUGAAUUUGUACUCUUGUUUCUCAGUUAGGUUCCUGGUAAACCUUCACUUUGCCCAUCUCUACCCCCAGCCACUCGGCAAUUUUCUUUGAAAGUUCCAUACAUGAUGAAUUAGAAUUUGCUGAAAACAACACCAGACCUCCUUUGGUUAUGUUCACCUUGGUUUCCAAUUCAGGUGGUGCCACACAAAUAUCCCUUUCUAGGUUUUCCAAUUCUGAGCCUAACCCAGCCCCACUGCAGCCUCAGCUGCAGAAGGAAGAACAUGCCUGGUCUCCAGACCAUGUCUCUAGCAGCAAAAUGGCAACCCCAGGGUUCCAUCUCAUUUCUUGAAGGGUCAGUUUCAGCUCACGAAGACUGAGGCCUCACGAGAAAUAGGAUGCCUCAUGAGAAAUAGGACCCUCCAGUCACACUCUCCAGACUUCACUAUCUAAUAAGAAAACCAGGGCCGGGGAUUUAGUUCAGGGGUUUCGCUGUCUGCUGCGCAAGCACAAGGACCCGAAUUUGAUCCCUGGUACCAAAAAAAAAAAAGAAAGAAAACCAAUGAAAGCAACAGAAAAAUUUAGUUCCUCAGUUAUAGGUACAUUUCCAAUGUCCACUGAGCACAAGUGGCUAAUGGCAACCAUACAGGACAGUGCAGAUGGGCAUUUCCAUCAUUGCAGGAAGUUGUGUUGGAAAGAACUGACUUGACAUCUUAUUUUUGUCUGCAUAUUCAUAACACAGGCUUUAUAUGUGUAUAUUUAUGAAACAAAAAGUCUCCUAAUGAUACCUCUACUGUUUUAUAUGAACAAAAAUGAGAGGGUAUAGGAAGUUGAGGACAAUUUUAGGUUUAUGGUAUUAAGAGCUUUUCUUUUUUUCCUUUAAAGAUGAGUGUAGAGUAAGGAGCCAGGUGGAUAAUAACGGAGAUAACUAUAGAUUCUUGAACCCAAGGUUUAUGUACAAAUGAAUAUUUUCAAAGCAUAUGAAAGAAGAAACUUAUCAGAACAUAGUAGUAUACUCAAAUUCAUAUGCAUAAAGCUAAAUAUUGGAUUUAGAUUUUAAACCAACAAUACUUGGAAAUGAAGCCUUUUUGGGUUACUCCAGCCUUGAGGGACAGAAUGGUCUGUUUUCAACCUGUGGCCAUCAGGACACUUUCUGUUCUUUUGGCUGAGCAGAUAAUCCCUGGGGCACCUGGAAAAUAGCUGGUUAAAUUUAGCUCUGCUGCUGUCAAGUUGUAGGCUAGAUCAGUCACGCUGUGUUUUCUUAAUGGCAGAUGUGGGAGGAAGUAGAGUGAGAGUGUUCUGCACAAACCCACAUUGGCUCUGGUUCAAGGCAUCUUCUCUUGGGGUGGUCAGGAAGAGGAAGAAGAAAGAAAAAAAUAGGAAGAGAAAAGGGAAAGAAAAGCGAAAAAUGAUUUUUUAAAUGUUUAAUUUUAAUAAAUAUUUCCAAGUGUUGUCAAAGACAACACUUACAACACUCACGCUCACAUUACAAUUUAUAAUUGCAGAAGAAAAAAAUUCUAACCAGAGGCUCCCACUAUUGGUCUUCGAAGAGAGGAGGAAAAAUAAAUAAAUUUUGUGUGUGUUUAUUGUUUUGUUUUGGUUUAGAUUUGGGAUUUUUGAGAUAGGGUCUUGCUAUGUAGUUCAGGCUGACCUUGAGUUCACUGUGAUCCUCCUGCCUCAGCCUCCUGAUUGCUGGGAUCACAGAUGUAUGCCACCAUGCCCAGCUCAGAAUAAAUAUUUAAUCAUGACAUUUAACAGAAAAGGCAUAUUGGCUUUGGACUUAUAGUUGAAAAAUUUUGAUCAUCAAAGAUUGUUCCAUCCAUUAGAAUUUAUCCAUUGUAAAUUAUUUCCUGUAGGUCAGAGUUUCAGAGUCUAUAAUUAUUUCAAAUUAUACUUAAACUCUCCAUAUUCUGAAUUUCUUUGGAUUCUUUCCCUUUUGUUUGCUCAUAUUUCAGUCUUUGAUAAUGCUGGGUUGGUUGUGAAAUGUCAAAAACUUGUAUAUCUGGAGUAGGAGACAACGUGUUUUGGUUUUUCAGACACAAUGUAGUUGUUUUGUGUUCAGAAUCCAAAUGAUUACAGAUUUUGGAUUUUAUACCUUAACAAAAGAAUAGGUUGGGUGGUACAUUUUUAUUCUUUUAACCUUUGUCUUUAAUUCAAUAAAAUAUUAAACACAACAUUUUUAACUUCCAGGAAGCAGAAAUGAUUUGAGAAUUUGGUAUAGUCACUUUGUGAAUUAUUGAAAAGAUGUUAAUUAUAAUGUAGAAAUUAUACAGUUCUGAAAGGCAAAUUGUACUUUAUAUGUGAUGUGAUAAUAAAACUUUUCUAGUGGUAAACAAUAGUGACUACUUCUAAUUAUCAAAAUUUAUAAUGGCACAAUGUAUCUAAAAGUGUCCCUUGAUUUAACAUAAUUGUUUUAUGGGUUUUUUUUGCCUAUUAGUCUGGCUGUUAAUCUGUAUGUAUGAUAAUUAACUUUAUAAGGACUUAUAAGAGAAAGACAUGAAUCUGAUGCUGGCAAAAUGGAAGAGGGGAAGAGAAAAAAGAAUUGAAAUGUGUUAUGUAGAUGUACCAGUUCUGUAAAUGAAUGUAAUCAUGGACUGCAAACAUGUACUAAUAAAAAUU
rnacentral:lncRNA from 1 species